UACGAAGGAUGCAAGCGUUAUCCGGAUUUAUUGGUUUAAAGGGUGCGUAGGCGGACUUAUAAGUCAGUGGAUGAAAUCGUCGAUGCUUAACAUCGAACGUGCCAUUGAUACUGUAGGUCUUGAGUACAGAUGCCGUUGGCGGAAUGUGUCAUGUAGCGGUGAAAUGGCAUAGAUAUGACACAGAACACCGAAUUGCGAAGGCAGCUGACGAAACUGUAACUGACGCUGAAGGCACGGAAAGCGUGGGGAUCAAACAGGA
rnacentral:rRNA from 1 species